CUCCAGACUCCUACGGGAGGCAGCAGUGGGGAAUAUUGCACAAUGGGGGAACCCCUGAUGCAGCGACGCCGCGUGAGUGAAGAAGUACUUCGUUAUGUAAAGCUCUAUCAGCAGGGAAGAAAAUGACGGUACCUGAGUAAGAAGCCCCGGCUAACUACGUGCCAGCAGCCGCGGUAAUACGUAGGGGGCAAGCGUUAUCCGGAUUUACUGGGUGUAAAGGGAGCGUAGACGGCAGUGCAAGUCUGGAGUGAAAGGCGGGGGCUCAACCCCCGGACUGCUCUGGAAACUGUACGGCUGGAGUGCAGGAGAGGUAAGUGGAAUUCCUAGUGUAGCGGUGAAAUGCGUAGAUAUUAGGAGGAACACCAGUGGCGAAGGCGGCCUGCUGGACGACAACUGACGGUGAGGCGCGAAAGCGUGGGGAGCAAACAGGAUUAGAUACCCCAGUA
rnacentral:rRNA from 1 species